CAGGCUCUGACCCCAGAGUUUAAGGGUUAGGGUGUUAAUGUGUAUGAAUGUUUCUCUAGGUGUGGUGAUGGCCCUGAAGCAGGCUCUGACCCCAGAGUUUAAGGGUUAGUGUGUUAAUGUGUAUGAAUGUUUCUCUAGGUGUGGUGGUGGCCCUGAAGCAGGCUCUGAC